rnacentral:rRNA from 1 species
GGAUGAACGCUGGCGGCGUGCCUAAUACAUGCAAGUCGAGCGAACAGACGAGGAGCUUGCUCCUCUGACGUUAGCGGCGGACGGGUGAGUAACACGUGGAUAACCUACCUAUAAGACUGGGAUAACUUCGGGAAACCGGAGCUGAUACCGGAUAAUAUAUUGAACCGCAUGGUUCAAUAGUGAAAGACGGUUUUGCUGUCACUUAUAGAUGGAUCCGCGCCGCAUUAGCUAGUUGGUAAGGUAACGGCUUACCAAGGCGACGAUGCGUAGCCGACCUGAGAGGGUGAUCGGCCACACUGGAACUGAGACACGGUCCAGACUCCUACGGGAGGCAGCAGUAGGGAAUCUUCCGCAAUGGGCGAAAGCCUGACGGAGCAACGCCGCGUGAGUGAUGAAGGUCUUCGGAUCGUAAAACUCUGUUAUUAGGGAAGAACAAAUGUGUAAGUAACUAUGCACGUCUUGACGGUACCUAAUCAGAAAGCCACGGCUAACUACGUG